GACGAACGCUGGCGGCGUGCUUAUCACAUGCAAGUCGAACGAUGAACCCGGAGCUUGCUCCGGUGGAUUAGUGGCGAACGGGUGAGUAACACGUGAGUAACCUGCCCUUGACUCUGGGAUAACUGCGGGAAACUGUAGCUAAUACCGGAUACGACCCUCGGCGGCAUCGCCAGGGGGUGGAAAGAAUUUCGGUCAAGGAUGGACUCGCGGCCUAUCAGCUAGUUGGUGAGGUAACGGCUCACCAAGGCGACGACGGGUAGGCGGCCUGCGAGGGUGACGGGCCACACUGUGACGGAGACCCGGCCCAGACUCGUACGGGAGGGAGCAGUGGGGAAUAUUGCACAAUGGGCGCAAGCCUGAUGCAGCAACGCCGCGUGAGGGAUGACGGCCUUCGGGUUGUAAACCUCUUUUAGUAGGGAAGAAGCGAAAGUGACGGUACCUGCAGAAAAAGCACCGGCUAACUUCGUGCCAGCCGCCGCCGUAA
rnacentral:rRNA from 1 species